AUGCCAUGAUGAGGACACUUUCUCAAUAGUUCCUUGAACCUCUCCCAAGAGUCAUAUGAAGAUUCAUCCUCGAGCUGAUAAAAAUUAUUGAUCUCCUUUCUUAAUUU